rnacentral:rRNA from 1 species
UACGUAGGAGGCGAGCGUUGUCCGGAAUCACUGGGCGUAAAGCGCACGUAGGCGGAUCGUUAAGUCAGGGGUGAAAUCCUGGAGCUCAACUCCAGAACUGCCUUUGAUACUGGCGAUCUUGAGUCCGGAAGAGGUGAGUGGAACUCCUAGUGUAGAGGUGGAAUUCGUAGAUAUUAGGAAGAACACCGGUGGCGAAGGCGGGUCUCUGGGCAACAACUGACGCUGAGGAGCGAAAAGCGUGGGGAGCGAACAGG